AACGAACGCUGGCGGCAGGCUUAACACAUGCAAAUCUAGCGCCCCGCAAGGGGAGCGGCAGACGGGUGAGUAACGCGUGGGAAUCUACCCAUCUCUACGGAAUAACGCAUGGAAACGUGUGCUAAUACCGUAUACGUCCUUCGGGAGAAAGAUUUAUCGGAGAUGGAUGAGCCCGCGUUGGGUUAGCUAGUUGGUGGGGUAAAGGCCUACCAAGGCGACGAUCCAUAGCUGGUCUGAGAGGAUGAUCAGCCACACUGGGACUGAGACACGGCCCAGACUCCUACGGGAGGCAGCAGUGGGGAAUAUUGGACAAUGGGCGCAAGCCUGAUCCAGCCAUGCCGCGUGAGUGAUGAAGGCCCUAGGGUUGUAAAGCUCUUUCACCGGUGAAGAUAAUGACGGUAACCGGAGAAGAAGCCCCGGCUAACUUCGUGCCAGCCGCCGCCGUAACAC
rnacentral:rRNA from 1 species